rnacentral:rRNA from 1 species
CCUACGGGUGGCAGCAGUAGGGAAUAUUGCUCAAUGGGGGCAACCCUGAACCAGCAACGCCGCGUGGAGGAUGAAGGUUUUCGGAUUGUAAACUCCUUUUGUUAGAGAAGAUAAUUACGGUAUCUACCGACUACUCACCGUCUAACUCCGUUCCAGCAGCAGCGGUAAUACGGAGGGUGCAACCGUUACUCGGAGUCACUGGGCGUAAAGAGCGCGUAGGCGGGAUAGCAAGUCAGAUGUGAAAUCCUAUGGCUUAACCAUAGAACUGCAUUUGAAACUGUUAUUCUAGAGUAUGUGAGAGGUAGGUGGAAUUCGUGGUGUAGGGGUAAAAUCCGUAGAGAUCACGAGGAAUACUCAUUGCGAAGGCGACCUGCUAGAACAUAACUGACGCUGAUGCGCGAAAGCGUGGGGAGCAAACAGGAUUAGAUACCCUUGUAGUC